AGAACAGGCUCUUGCUUUUGCCCUAGAUCGUAUCUGCCGCCGCCGGUGCCGACUAAUCUCCCCUAGAGCCAUGCCGUCCUGCUCCAUCCUGGCCACCGCAGUCGUCAUCGGAGGUGGAAGUCCAUGCUGCUGUUACCGAUUACCGCUGCCCGGCGCUGCGUUCUCUGGCUUUCACUCUCACCGACACACAUGGAUCAAGACGAGAACUGUUUGUGGGCAUUGAAGAUCAGAAGAUGAUGACAGAAAGCUGAUGAUGUGAGGAUUAAGCAAGUGUUUAAG